rnacentral:lncRNA from 1 species
UAAUUUCUUUAUAAGACACACAACUAAAUAGCAUGGUCAACCAACUUCACUAAUAUGAGUAAACAUCAAUUUCUCAGGAAGAAAAAAGUAAACACAAAGACAAACAACUAUGUCACUCAAGCAUGGACACAACACAAUUUGAAAAUUAAAGAAUGAGCAAAAGUUUUAAAUUGGACCUUAAGCAGCAAGAAUCCUUUCCGAUGUAUUAUUAAUAAUCUUCAGAUUAAAUCUUACAUCAAAUGGCCAAUGGAUGAGGUGGAGAUCCAAAAAUUAGCAGCCAAACUUAAGACAAAAAACUAGAACACGAUCAGAACAGUUGAUGGAACCUCGCCGGCGACCUCUGACUUUAAUCGGAAUCUCAACAGAGUGGUCUAAUAGCGACGAAGGGGAUGUGGGUAGUUGGCGGCAAUUUUUCGACGGGUCUUAGAUGUUGAGUGUGUGCUGCUGAUACUGGUUGUCACGGGUUGAGCAUUGGUGGUUUGCGGCGAGCUCAGGUGGCGGCUGUUGUUGAAGGUGAUGGUUGCGGUUGUUUUUUGUCUAAGGUUCUAGAGGUUCAGCUCUUGUCUAUCUAAGGUUUUGUCUAAUGUCCAAAUGAAGAAUAAGAAGAGAUGGUUGUCGUUGCUAUUGUUUUAAGAGGCAACAAUGGAGAAGAGGCAGAUGAACGAUGGGGUUUUUUCAGUUUUGCCGCUGGUCACUCCCUUCUUUUGCUAGGUCUAGGUUUUUUAUUUCCUUAAGGGCAAUGAGGUAUGGGCUAACAAGAAUUUCGAAAAUGGGCCUAAGAUUGGACCUAUCAUGACAAAAAAAUCGGCCC